rnacentral:rRNA from 1 species
UAGGGAAUCUUCCGCAAUGGGCGAAAGCUUGACGGAGCAACGCCGCGUGAGUGAUGAAGGUCUUCGGAUCGUAAAACUCUGUUAUUAGGGAAGAACAAAUGUGUAAGUAACUAUGCACGUCUUGACGGUACCUAAUCAGAAAGCCACGGCUAACUACGUGCCAGCAGCCGCGGUAAUACGUAGGUGGCAAGCGUUAUCCGGAAUUAUUGGGCGUAAAGCGCGCGUAGGCGGUUUUUUAAUCUGAUGUGAAAGCCCACGGCUCAACCGUGGAGGGUCAUUGGAAACUGGAAAACUUGAGUGCAGAAGAGGAAAGUGGAAUUCCAUGUGUAGCGGUGAAAUGCGCAGAGAUAUGGAGGAACACCAGUGGCGAAGGCGACUUUCUGGUCUGUAACUGACGCUGAUGUGCGAAAGCGUGGGGAUCAAACAGG